rnacentral:lncRNA from 1 species
GCCAGGGGAAGCAAGCCAGUGAGUAACAUCCCUCCAUGGCCUCUGCAUCAGCUCCUGCUUCCUGACCUGCUCGAGUUCCUGUCCUGACUUCCUUUGGUGAUGAACAGCAAUGUGGAAGUUGACCUGGCGGCUGACCAGCUAAGAGCCCAGGGAGGGGAGGAAGCAUUGGUAUGGCCCUGGAGGUGGAAUUAUAUCUGAACAUAAGUCUGUUGCCUCUGUGACACUGUCUUCAUCAGCAAAGCACAAAUUCGAAGCUACUCAUCGAAUUGUUCUGCUUGGAAAAACUGCCUCUGAAUUCCAAUAACUAAACUACACUGACUUUGUAACUGAAUGGAACUCAAUGGAACUUCCCAAACUCAACUGAACUCCAGUCAGAGGGAUUAAAGAUGAAGAUGCCUUUAGGGUCUGAGUCACAGACCAUGGCUGUCCUGCUCAUCAGAGAAUUCGAGGGAAGAGACUUGCUGAUAGCAAUGGAUCCAGAGAGGGUUCAGCUCUCUGUCCCUCGGCAUGGGCUUUGCGUGGCUUUUGCUAAUGGGACCAUUUGUCUAAACUGUCUCCUCACCUUCCAUGGGUCAAAGCGGAGUUGUUAAUGCUUAGGAAUCAGCAUCCUGAAAGAAGAAGGCCAGCAUUUCACGUCAGCCGGAUUUUGUGUUUGAAUACAUCCACAAUGGUUGAUCUGAAGUUUACCAAUUUUCAUGCCAACUGCCUUUUUAAAAA